AAUUUUUUUUUUUUUUUUUCUUGAAUAUAUGCGCACACACAGGACAAGGAAGAGACACUCUUUGACAAAACUAUGACAAUUUUGUACGUCCAUGUAGUUCUUGAGUUUGUGAAAAGAACAAAAAAGACAAAAUACAUGUAUGAUCAAAGUCUUUAACCUUUGACUUUUGUUUAAACUUUGGCUUUAUGUUUGAUGCUGACAUUUUAGUGGAAAUUUCAGCAUGCCACAUAAGCGGUUAUUGACUUGCUUGUGCAAGCAAUGAUAAGUUGUUUGACUUACACAAGUUAAAAGAAUA
rnacentral:misc_RNA from 1 species